rnacentral:rRNA from 1 species
GAUGAACGCUGGCGGCGUGCCUAAUACAUGCAAGUCGAGCGAACAGACGAGGAGCUUGCUCCUCUGACGUUAGCGGCGGACGGGUGAGUAACACGUGGAUAACCUACCUAUAAGACUGGGAAAACUUCGGGAAACCGGAGCUAAUAACGGAUAAUAUAUUGAACCGCAUGGUUCAAUAGUGAAAGACGGUUUUGCUGUCACUUAUAGAUGGAUCCGCGCCGCAUUAGCUAGUUGGUAAGGUAACGGCUUACCAAGGCAACGAUGCGUAGCCGACCUGAGAGGGUGAUCGGCCACACUGGAACUGAUACACUGGUCAUACUCCUACGUGAUGCAGCAUUAGGGAAUCUUCCGCAAUGGGCGAAAGCUUGACGGAGCAACGCCGCGUGAGUGAUGAAGGUCUUCGUAUCGUAAAACUCUGUUAUUAGGUAAGAACAAAUGUGUAAGUAACUAUGCACGUCUUGACGGUACCUAAUCAGAAAGCCACGGCUAACUACGUG